rnacentral:rRNA from 1 species
UACGUAGGGCGCAAGCGUUGUCCGGAAUUAAUGGGCGUAAAGAGCGCGCAGGCGGUCGUUCAAGUCGAGUGUGAAAGCCCCCGGCUCAACUGGGGAGGGUCAUUCGAUACUGAUCGACUCGAAGGCAGGAGAGGGAAGUGGAAUUCCCGGUGUAGUGGUGAAAUGCGUAGAUAUCGGGAGGAACACCAGUGGCGAAGGCGACUACCUGGACCAGCACUGACACUGAGGCACGAAAGCGUGGGGAGCAAACAGG